UCUUAUCAAGAGCUUCAAAUGCAAAAAUCAUGGUACAACGACUAAUAUUGCACAUAAUUUCUUGAUGAAGUUCUAUCGGAAUCUUGAAACACGAAUGUGAUGUUCUAUCAUUAAGUAAAAGUAUAGCUGUAAUUCCAGAUGAUGCCAAUGGUAGCACAAUUUUUCCUUCUGAUCUUAACCUUUAAAUGAUUGUCUUAUACAUAUAUAUUUUUCCUGUUCCUCCUCGUCCAUUCAGGAAAUUGUUUUUCCUUUCAUAUAGUAAUUGAGUUACUAACAGCUUCAUACA
rnacentral:lncRNA from 1 species